rnacentral:rRNA from 1 species
UGCCUACGGGGGGCAGCAGUGGGGAAUUUUUGGCAAUGGGCGAAAGCCUGACCAAGCAACGCCGCGUGGGUGAUGAAGUAUCUUGGUACGUAAAACCCUUUCGGCAGGGACGAACUUAAUGACGGUACCUGCGGAAGAAGCCCCGGCUAACUCCGUGCCAGCAGCCGCGGUAAUACGGGGGGGGCAAGCGUUGUUCGGAAUUACUGGGCGUAAAGGGCGCGUAGGCGGUCGGAUAAGUCAGCUGUGAAAACCACGGGCUUAACUCGUGGCCUGCAGUUGAAACUGUCUGGCUAGAGUGUGGGAGAGGGAAGUGGAAUUCCUGGUGUAGCGGUGAAAUGCGUAGAUAUCAGGAGGAACACCGGUGGCGAAGGCGGCUUCCUGGACCACAACUGACGCUGAGGCGCGAAAGCUAGGGUAGCAAACAGGAUUAGAUACCCUAGUAGUC